CUGCUUUGCUGACGAGUGGCGGACGGGUGAGUAAUGUCUGGGAAACUGCCUGAUGGAGGGGGAUAACUACUGGAAACGGUGGCUAAUACCGCAUAACGUCGCAAGACCAAAGAGGGGGACCUUCGGGCCUCUUGCCAUCAGAUGUGCCCAGAUGGGAUUAGCUUGUUGGUGAGGUAACGGCUCACCAAGGCGACGAUCCCUAGCUGGUCUGAGAGGAUGACCAGCCACACUGGAACUGAGACACGGUCCAGACUCCUACGGGAGGCAGCAGUGGGGAAUAUUGCACAAUGGGCGCAAGCCUGAUGCAGCCAUGCCGCGUGUAUGAAGAAGGCCUUCGGGUUGUAAAGUACUUUCAGCGGGGAGGAAGGUGUUGUGGUUAAUAACCGCAGCAAUUGACGUUACCCGCAGAAGAAGCACCGGCUAACUCCGUGCCAGCAGCCGCGGUAAUACGGAGGGUGCAAGCGUUAAUCGGAAUUACUGGGCGUAAAGCGCACGCAGGCGGUCUGUCAAGUCGGAUGUGAAAUCCCCGGGCUCAACCUGGGAACUGCAUUCGAAACUGGCAGGCUUGAGUCUUGUAGAGGGGGGUAGAAUUC
rnacentral:rRNA from 1 species